rnacentral:rRNA from 1 species
CCUACGGGUGGCAGCAGUGGGGGAUAUUGCACAAUGGGGGGAACCCUGAUGCAGCGACGCCGCGUGGGUGAAGAAGGGCCUCGGCGCGUAAAGCCCUGUCAGCAGGGAAGAAAAUGACGGUACCUGAAGAAGAAGCCCCGGCUAACUACGUGCCAGCAGCCGCGGUAAUACGUAGGGGGCCAGCGUUAUCCGGAUUUACUGGGUGUAAGGGGGGCGCAGGCGGCGGUUCAAGCCAGGGGUGAAAGCCUGGGGCCCAACCCCGGGGCUGCUUGUGGAACUGGGUGGCUGGAGUGCAGGAGGGGCAGGCGGAAUUCCUGGUGUAGCGGUGAAAUGCGUAGAUAUCAGGAGGAACACCGGUGGCGAAGGCGGCCUGCUGGACUGCAACUGACGUUGAGGCCCGAAAGCGUGGGGAGCAAACAGGAUUAGAUACCCGAGUAGUC